GUAACAAGGUUUCCGUAGGUGAACCUGCGGAAGGAUCAUUACAGUGCCUUCUGAGCCUGCGUCCCUCGGGGCGUGGGCUUCUGAACGCCCACCCAUGUUUACUUGACCAUUGUUGCCUUGGUGGGCCCGCUGCCUAGGCGGCCGCCGGGGACGCCUAAUCGCGCCCCGGGCCAGCGCCCACCGAAGGACUCUUUGAACCCUAUAUAUGAAAACGGCUGUCUGAGUGAUUAUUUAAUUAAACAAAACUUUCAACAACGGAUCUCUUGGUUCCGGCAUCGAUGAAGAACGCAGCGAAAUGCGAUAAGUAAUGUGAAUUGCAGAAUUCCGUGAAUCAUCAAAUCUUUGAACGCACAUUGCGCCCUCUGGUAUUCCGGAGGGCAUGCCUGUCCGAGCGUCAUUGCAACCCCUCAAGCACGGCUUGUGUGUUGAACGGCUGUCCCUUCGGGGACAGGUUCCAAAUGCAGUGGCAGCGCCCGAUCAUGGUGCCCGAGUGUAUGGGAUUUUUCAUCACUCAAGCGGUAUCGAUUGGCGCUCGCCCUCGAAGCUUAGGCUUCACAUUUAUUUUCUGGUUGACCUCGGAUCAGGUAGGGAUACCCGCUGAACUUAAGCAUAUC
rnacentral:misc_RNA from 1 species